UACGGAGGGUGCAAACGUUGCUCGGAAUCAUUGGGCGUAAAGAGCGCGCAGGCGGUCGUUCAAGUCGCGUGUGAAAGCCCCCGGCUCAACUGGGGAGGGUCACGCGAUACUGAUCGACUCGAAGGCAGGAGAGGGUAGUGGAAUUCCCGGUGUAGUGGUGAAAUGCGUAGAUAUCGGGAGGAACACCAGUGGCGAAGGCGACUACCUGGCCUGUUCUUGACGCUGAGGCGCGAAAGCUAGGGGAGCAAACGGG
rnacentral:rRNA from 1 species